rnacentral:rRNA from 1 species
UACAGAGGUCUCAAGCGUUGUUCGGAUUCAUUGGGCGUAAAGGGUGUGUAGGUGGCGCCGUAAGUCGGAUGUGAAAUUUCGGAGCUUAACUCCGAAACUGCAUUCGAUACUGCGGUGCUUGAGGACUGGAGAGGAGACUGGAAUUCAUGGUGUAGCAGUGAAAUGCGUAGAGAUCAUGAGGAAGACCAGUGGCGAAGGCGGGUCUCUGGACAGUUCCUGACGCUGAGGAGCGAAAGCGUGGGGAGCGAACAGG